GGCUUGUUGAUUAUGAUUUCAAGUCUGACCUGCUCUAUGAGUUGAUUAAAUGGCCGCGGUAUUUUGACCGUGCAAAGGUAGCAUAAUCACUAGUUUUUUAAUUGAAAGCUUGAAUGAAAGGUUUGAUGAAAAAAUUACUGUCUCUAGAAAGAUUUAUUAAAAUUUUAUUUUUAAGUUAGAAAGCUUAAAUAAAUAUAGAAGACGAGAAGACCCUAUAGAGUUUAAUAUUUUCAUUAAAGGCUAAGUUUUAAGUAUGGAAAAUAUAGGUUUUCAUGAAAGUAUUUUGUUGGGGUGAUAGGAAAAUUAAUAAAACUUUUCUUAAUUAAUUACAUUUAUUUGUGGAUUUAUGAUCCUAUAAUUUAGAUUAAAAGAUUAAAUUACCUUAGGAAUAACAGCGUUAUUUUUUUUAGAGUUCUUAUCGAAGAAAAGGUUUGCGACCUCGAUGUUGGAUUAAAGUAUGUUUUUGGUGUAGAAGCAAAAAAACUAAGUCUGUUCGAACUUU
rnacentral:rRNA from 1 species